rnacentral:snRNA from 1 species
UCAUCGCGCUUGGUUGAA